rnacentral:tRNA from 1 species
UGGGUUGUGGCUCAGUGGUAGAGUGCUUGUCUUGCACAUGUGAGAAUCUGGGUUCAAUUCUCAGCACUGCAU